rnacentral:misc_RNA from 1 species
GUGAAUCAUCGAAUUUUUGAACGCACAUUGCACUCUCUGGUAUUCCGGAGAGUAUGCCUGUUUGAGGGUCAUUAAUAAGAAUCUUUAACCAAUUUUUUUGGUCAAAGUUGAUGAGCUCUCUGCGUUUAUCGCGUUAGCUUGAAAUAAAUGGUCAAGUCUCAUUUUAGUCGAGACGCGUAAUAAUGUUAUUUCGCGAAAUCUUCAUUAUGGGACUAUCAAGUUUUCAUGC